rnacentral:rRNA from 1 species
GAUGAACGCUAGCUACAGGCUUAACACAUGCAAGUCGAGGGGAAACGACAUCGAAAGCUUGCUUUUGAUGGGCGUCGACCGGCGCACGGGUGAGUAACGCGUAUCCAACCUGCCCAUCACUUGGGAAUAACCUUGCGAAAGUAAGACUAAUACCCAAUGACAUCCCACGAAGACAUCUGAAUGGGAUUAAAGAUUUAUCGGUGAUGGAUGGGGAUGCGUCUGAUUAGCUUGUUGGCGGGGUAACGGCCCACCAAGCAACGAUCAGUAGGGGUUCUGAGAGGAAGGUCCCCCACAUUGGAACUGAGACACGGUCCAAACUCCUACGGGAGGCAGCAGUGAGGAAUAUUGGUCAAUGGGCGAGAGCCUGAACCAGCCAAGUAGCGUGCAGGAUGACGGCCCUAUGGGUUGUAAACUGCUUUUAUAAGGGAAUAAAGUGGGUCUCGUGAGACUUUUUGCAUGUACCUUAUGAAUAAGGACCGGCUAAUUCCGUG